GCUGGGCCCUGUGGCUGAUGCCUGUGAUCCCAGCUCCCGGGGAGGCUGAGGCCAGUGGAUCGCUUGAGCUUGGGAGUUCUAGGCUGCAGCAGGCUGUGCCGAUUGGGUCUCUGCACUAAAUUUGGCAUCAAUAUGGUGGAGCUUGGGGUCCCCAGGUUGCCUAAGGAGGGGUGAACCGGCCCAGGUCAGGAAUGGAGCAGGUCAAAACUCCUGUGCCGAUCAGUAGUGGGAUUGUGCCUGUGAAUAGCCCCUGCAGCAUAGCCUGGGCAAGACAGUGAGACACGGUCUCUU
rnacentral:SRP_RNA from 1 species